AGGAACCUGCCUCAAAGAGGGGGACAACAGUUGGAAACGACUGCUAAUACCGCAUAAGCCCACGACCCGGCAUCGGGAAGAGGGAAAAGGAGCAAUCCGCUUUGAGAUGGCCUCGCGUCCGAUUAGCUAGUUGGUGAGGUAACGGCCCACCAAGGCAACGAUCGGUAGCCGGACUGAGAGGUUGAACGGCCACAUUGGGACUGAGACACGGCCCAGACUCCUACGGGAGGCAGCAGUGGGGAAUAUUGCACAAUGGGGGAAACCCUGAUGCAGCGACGCCGCGUGGAGGAAGAAGGUCUUCGGAUUGUAAACUCCUGUUGUUGAGGAAGAUAAUGACGGUACUCAACAAGGAAGUGACGGCUAACUACGUGCCAGCAGCCGCGGUAAAACGUAGGUCACAAGCGUUGUCCGGAAUUACUGGGUGUAAAGGGAGCGCAGGAGGGAAGACAAGUUGGAAGUGAAAUCCAUGGGCUCAACCCAUGAACUGCUUUCAAAACUGUUUUUCUUGAGUAGUGCAGAGGUAGGCGGAAUUCCCGGUGUAGCGGUGGAAUGCGUAGAUAUCGGGAGGAACACCAGUGGCGAAGGCGGCCUACUGGGCACCAACUGACGCUGAGGCUCGAAAGUGUGGGUAGCAAACAGGAUUAGAUACCCUGGUAGUCCACACCGUAAACGAUGAUUACUAGGUGU
rnacentral:rRNA from 1 species